GUGCUCGCUUCGGCAGCACAUACGCUAAAAUCGGAACGAUGCAGAGAAGAUUAGAAUGGCCGCUGCCCAAGGAUGACACGCAAAUUCGCGGAGCGUUU
rnacentral:snRNA from 1 species